UCAAGUGACUAAGUGUAUGUGGUGGAUGCCUUGGCGAUCACAGGCGAUGAAGGACGUAGUAGCUUGCGAUAAGCUGCGGGGAGCCGGCAAACGGGCUUUGAUCCGCAGAUUUCCGAAUGGGGGAACCCACCGACGUAGGUCGGUAUCACGUACUGAAUACAUAGGUGCGUGAGGCGAACGGAGCGAACUGAAACAUCUAAGUAGCUCCAGGAAAAGAAAUCAACCGAGAUUGCGAAAGUAGCGGCGAGCGAAAUUGCAGCAGCCCAGUGUUCUGAUAGCACGAACGACAGCAGAAGGGUCUGGAAAGGCCUGCUAUAGAGGGUGAUAGCCCCGUAUGCGAAAUCGGACGUGUGGUACUAAGGAACCGAUAAGUAGGGCGGGACACGUGACAUCCUGUCUGAAGAUGGGGGGACCAUCCUCCAAGGCUAAAUACUCGUGAUCGACCGAUAGUGAACCAGUACUGUGAAGGAAAGGCGAAAAGAACCCCGGGAGGGGAGUGAAAUAGAACCUGAAACCGCAUACAUACAAACAGUAGGAGCCCCUGCAGUGGGGUGACUGCGUACCUUUUGCAUAAUGGGUCAGCGACUUACGUUUUGUGGCGAGCUUAACCGAGUAGGGGAGGCGUAGCGAAAGCGAGUUCGAAUAGAGCGAAGAGUCUCAAGGCGUAGACCCGAAACCAGAUGAGCUAUCCAUGGCCAGGUUGAAGGUGUGGUAACACACACUGGAGGACCGAACCGACUAGUGUUGCAAAAUUAGCGGAUGAGCUGUGGAUAGGGGUGAAAGGCUUAACAAAUCUGGAGAUAGCUGGUUCUCCCCGAAAACUAUUGAGGUAGUGCCUCGUGUAUUGCUCCAGGGGGUAGAGCACUGUUAUGGCUAGGGGGACAUGGCGUCUUACCAAACCAUGGCAAACUCCGAAUACUUGGAAGUAAGAGCACGGGAGACAGAGCACCGGGUGCUAACGUCCGGACUCAAGAGGGAAACAACCCAGACCGCCGUUUAAGGUCCCAAAUAUUGACUAAGUGGAAAACGAAGUGUGAAGGCUAAGACAGUCAGGAAGUUGGCUUAGAAGCAGCCAUCCUUCAAAGAAAGCGUAAUAGCUCACUGAUCGAGUCCUCAUGCGCGGAAGAUGUAACGGGGCUAAGUCAAUAACCGAAAGCGCGGAUUUGCACGCAAGUGCAAGUGGUAGGGGAGCGUUCUGUAAGCCUGCGAAGGUGGUUCGAGAGGACUGCUGGAGGUAUCAGAAGUGCGAAUGCUGACAUGAGUAACGUUAAAGCGGGUGAAAAGCCCGCUCGCCGUAAGCCCAAGGUUUCCUGCUCUACGUUCAUCGGAGCAGGGUGAGUCGGCCCCUAAGGCCAGGCUGAGAAGCGUAGUCGAUGGGAAGCAGAUUAAUAUUUCUGCACCAUGUGCAAGUGCGAUGGGGGGACGGAGUGCGAAAGAUCAUCCGGGUGUUGGAUGUCCCGGUUUGUGAGUGUAGAAGGCCGACAGGCAAAUCCGUCGGCGGAUCUUCGAGACAAAGCAUCGAGGUUCUACGGAACCGAAGUGAUCGGAAGUGCUUCCAGGAAAAGCCUCUAAGCUUCAGCUUGUACAUGACCGUACCGUAAACCGACACUGGUGGGCGAGUUGAAUAUACUCAGGCGCUUGAGAGAACUCGGGAGAAGGAACUCGGCAAAUUGACACCGUAACUUCGGGAUAAGGUGUGCCUUUGUAGCGUGAAGAGAGAAACACUCGGAGCGUGAAGAGGCCUCAGAGAAUCGGUGGCUGCAACUGUUUAUUAAAAACACAGCACUCUGCAAAGACGAAAGUCGACGUAUAGGGUGUGAUGCCUGCCCGGUGCUGGAAGAUUAAGUGAUGGGGUGAGAGCUCCUGAUCGAAGUCCCAGUAAACGGCGGCCGUAACUAUAACGGUCCUAAGGUAGCGAAAUUCCUUGUC
rnacentral:rRNA from 1 species